UUAUGCGCUAUUUUCCAACGAAAAAACUUUACCUUUUUAGGAUGAUGUCCUUUCCAUACUGUCUUUGCUAGCAUGGUAUUUAUUGCUUCUACUUUUUCCCUCAUGUCCAUCAUCAAGGAUUUUGUAGAGAACCCUGUCAAUUUAAACCUAGGACCACUAAGGUUGAAGCCACGAACAUUACCUAUAUGCCCAACCC